GAUGAAGAACGCAUCGAAAUGCGAUAAGUAGUGUGAAUUGCAGAAUUCAGUGAAUCAUCGAAUCUUUGAACGCACAUUGCGCCCGUCAGUAUUCUGGCGGGCAUGCCUGUUCGAGCGUCAUUACGCCCCUCAAGUCCCCUGUGGACUUGGUGUUGGGGAUCGGCGAGGCUGGUUUUCCAGCACAGCCGUCCCUUAAAUUAAUUGGCGGUCUCGCCGUGGCCCUCCUCUGCGCAGUAGUAAAACACUCGCAACAGGAGCCCGGCGCGGUCCACUGCCGUAAAACCCCCCAACUUUUUAUAGUUGACCUCGAAUCAGGUAGGACUACCCGCUGAACUUAAGCAUAUCAAUAAGCGGAGGA
rnacentral:misc_RNA from 1 species